UACGUAGGGUGCAAGCGUUGUCCGGAAUUAUUGGGCGUAAAGAGCUUGUAGGCGGUCUGUCGCGUCUGCUGUGAAAAUCCGGGGCUCAACCCCGGACUUGCAGUGGGUACGGGCAGACUAGAGUGUGGUAGGGGAGACUGGAAUUCCUGGUGUAGCGGUGAAAUGCGCAGAUAUCAGGAGGAACACCGGUGGCGAAGGCGGGUCUCUGGGCCGAUACUGACGCUGAGGAGCGAAAGCGUGGGGAGCGAACAGG
rnacentral:rRNA from 1 species